rnacentral:rRNA from 1 species
UACGUAGGGUGCGAGCGUUAAUCGGAAUUACUGGGCGGAAAGUGUGCGCAGGCGGCUUCGCAAGUCGAGUGUGAAAUCCCCGAGCUUAACUUGGGAAUUGCGCUCGAAACUACGGAGCUGGAGUGUGGCAGAGGAAGGUGGAAUUCCACGUGUAGCGGUGAAAUGCGUAGAGAUGUGGAGGAACACCGAUGGCGAAGGCAGCCUUCUGGGCCAACACUGACGCUCAUGCACGAAAGCGUGGGGAGCAAACAGG